UCGGUCUCUCCCUGGUCAGGAGAAGAAAAGUGAAAAAUAAGCAAGGAGUGUUGAGUAAGAUUAUUCGAGCUUAGGGUGCGGGAGUUUCCAAGUUCGUUCGCCGCACUUUUCGUUUUUUGACGAUUUGGAAGCUGACAAGCUUGACUUCACUUGGUAAAUGCUAUAAAAUACCAACCAAGAAGCUCCAGGCAUGAACAACUUUAAUAGAAAACUAGAGAUAGAUUUGACUUGGGCAUCAUCAUUAUUAAUAAGGGCAUUUGCUCUAGUGGUAUGACUCUCGCUUUGGGUGGGCAGAAGUUCUGUGAUUUUUGUAUCUGUCGCAUAGUUUGCAAGCAUCAGUUACAACACUGAGAUAGUGCACUAAGAUGGCAUAUGUCACCAAACAUGCGUCGGAAAAGGAAAAAGAAAAACUGGUAUGACACCAAACAUAACUUCAUUGUGCUUCAGACAGACUGUAAUGUAACAUAGAAACUGAUAUAUAUUGCGAAGCUUAAGUUCUUUGGUUUCAAAAGUUUUAUAAGCUGAUAAACUACUGUAUCAAUGUUGGCUGACAUUUUACAGGAAAUCGUGAAGCAACAAAGUUCUCUAUCAUUCAUUAUUAGUUAAUUUCAUACCACUGUACUUACAAAUAAUAUUAGUAUUAAGGAUGAUGUUUUCAAGUUGUGGUUAAAAAAAAGCAAUUUUACCAACUUACUGGUGUCAGGUGGUGAAAGCUGAUGUACAAAUUUUCAAGUACCAAGUGACAAUUUGCCACCGAGAAUGCAGUAAAAUUGCAAGUCAUAGUCACCGUGGCUGCAUAAUCUAUAAAUUUUCCAGUACCAAGUGACAUUUUUAUGUAAUCUUAAUAUAUAACUGUAGAUAACGUGGCUGCAUAAUCUAUAAACAUAGAUUCUACCUAGCCAUCUCCCCUUCAAUGUAUACCUUUGGUCUACUGGUAUUAUUCUCGCUUUGGCUGCAAGAGAUCCCAAGCUCAAUUUUUGGAACGCCACUAUUUUUUUUUUUUUUAUAUUUGUCUGUGUCUGUUUUGUCAUUGAGUAGGCACAAAGGCAUGGACUCUAUUCUCAGUCAGAAAGAAUUGUUGCUAUGGCGUUUCUUCCUAAGAAAGACAGAAGAUGUGAAUUAGCUUGCCAUGUAUGAGACAAAGCAGUUGCUUUGUUUUCUGUAUCUGUUCACAAGUUUUGAAGCAUACUGAGUCACAGCUCCGAGGUGUGGUAUUUGAUCUUAAGGCUAAGUACAACAUUUGAACCCUACAGUUUUGCUAUGCAAUAGAAUGAACUAUGUUAUUUCAAAGUAAAUGAGGAAGGUGGUUGUGGAUGGUCCAUGGUGCCUGUCAAUCAUCAAAACAAAUGGAUGAAAACAUAUUACAAACAUUGCCAGACAAAUCAAAUGUUGAUCAAAUCACUCAGACGUAAAUUUUAAUAUACAUUAGAUCAAAUCACAUGUCAGUAUUCACUGGGCUGAACUUAAGCUAAUGUUUAAUUACUCUUUAGAAGCCAAUCUACAACAAUAUCAAUGUUGAUGGAGUUUCUACAGGAGAUCAUGAAGCACAAAACUUUACUGUCAUCGAUAGAUUUCAGACCCCUGCACACAUAAAACAAACUUCU